CCUACGGGAGGCAGCAGUGAGGAAUAUUGGUCAAUGGGCGCGAGCCUGAACCAGCCAAGUAGCGUGAAGGAUGACUGCCCUACGGGUUGUAAACUUCUUUUAUAAAGGAAUAAAGUGAGGCACGAGUGCCUUUUUGUAUGUACUUUAUGAAUAAGGAUCGGCUAACUCCGUGCCAGCAGCCGCGGUAAUACGGAGGAUCCGAGCGUUAUCCGGAUUUAUUGGGUUUAAAGGGAGCGUAGAUGGGUUGUUAAGUCAGUUGUGAAAGUCUGCGGCUCAACCGUAAAAUUGCAAUUGAAACUGGCAGCCUUGAGUUCCGUAGAGGUAGGCGGAAUUCGUGGUGUAGCGGUGAAAUGCUUAGAUAUCACGAAGAACUCCGAUUGCGAAGGCAGCCUACUAGACUGCCACUGACACUGAGGCUCGAAAGUGUGGGUAUCAAACAGGAUUAGAUACCCCAGUAGUC
rnacentral:rRNA from 1 species